GCACAGUAGCGUAACGGAUAGAGCCACUGCCCCACAGCGCCGGAAACCCAGGUUCGAUCCUGCCCUCAGGGUACUGUCUGUGUGGAGUUUGCACGUUCUCACUGUGACUGCAAGGGUUUCCGCCGGGUGCCCCGGUUUUCUUCCUCAUC